rnacentral:rRNA from 1 species
CAAACAGGAUUAGAUCCCCUGGUAGUCCACGCCGUAAACGAUGUCGAUUUGGAGGCUGUGCCCUUGAGGCGUGGCUUCCGGAGCUAACGCGUUAAAUCGACCGCCUGGGGAGUACGGCCGCAAGGUUAAAACUCAAAUGAAUUGACGGGGGCCCGCACAAGCGGUGGAGCAUGUGGUUUAAUUCGAUGCAACGCGAAGAACCUUACCUACUCUUGACAUCCAGAGA